rnacentral:lncRNA from 1 species
GUUUGGAUUCUCUCUGCCUGACCCAAGGCAGACAUCCGUUCCCUCUGGCCGUUGGUACUCCUGGUUCUCAGGGAUUCAGACUCUGACUGGCGUCCACUCCAUUGGAUCCCGGCCCUCAGGUCUUGGAACUUGCACUGCCAGCAUUCCUGGGUGUCCGGCUUGCGGACAGCAGAUCGUGGGACUUCUCAGCCUCCAGAAUUGCACGAAGUGUCUCCUUACGAAUCUCUUCCUAUGUACGUGUAUCCUAUUGGCUCUGUUUCUCUGCAGAACCCUGACUAAUGCAAACCCUCUCAUCUCACAGCAGUGCAUGUACAAACCCACUCACAUCUUCCCCUCCCCUGCCUUCCCUACCGCAAGUUCCCUCCGACCAGAGGCCAAUCCCGCUGCGGUGCCCCGGACCCACCCUCUGCACCAGCCUUCCUUCUUGUUUUCUAAAAGCUCGCGUUUUCUGUGGGCUUCCAAGGCUGCUCUUCAGUAUCUUUACGUCAGAGCCUCCCAGCUCCUUCCCCUCUCUCAAAAGCGUUUUCACAGGGACUGUAGGCUCCUUCCCUCCCCUUGAUAACCAAGUACUAUGCCCCAGGUUCUUACCUCACAGCCCAAAGUUGUCCUAAGUCGGGCCCUGACCUGAGUGUCUCCAAAUCCAGCAGGCCGUCUGCUCUCCUGUGACAUGCAGCAUCCCACGGCUUUUCCUAAAAGACCCCCUCUGUCAGCUUUGCUGUCACCCACCCUCCAGGGCUCUCUCUUACAGGUCUGCCCUUUGCUAGCAUCUUAGCCUCUCCACCUCCCGGUGGUCCUGUCUGCGAUGGACCCCCUCCAUGUGUCCCAAGGCCCUCCAAAGGAACAGGUCUGUAUCAGGUGCAAUUAGAUUGAGGUGCAAUGCAAGGGCUUGAAUUGCAGAGAGGUUCAUUUUUCUUUUUGUAGAAAAGUCUGGGACCAGCUGUCAGAGACUGAUUUGGCCACUCCAUGGUCACCAGGACCAGGCUGUGUCCAUCUUUUCUGUUCUGACCUUUUUCACAUGGGCCAUUGUCCAUGUCACCGCUGGUCACCAGCUGCAGCAGUCGCAUUCUUGCUCCGGGCAGCAGGAAGAAGGUGAGACCAGAAGGCAGAGGGGGCUGGUCCUGCCUGGUCAGCCCCCAGGGGGCUUUGCCCAGACACCCCUUCCCCACCCAUGGCUCUGCUGAUUUCUCUAUAGCUGCCACCCUCUGAAAAGGGAGCUGGCAGAGUAGUUCUUAGACAUGGCACCUGGCCACCUCUGUGGCUGAAGAAGAAGGGGGUUGAGGAUUGGGGUACACACCUGUCAGUCUCCAUGCAAUGCCCCAAAGUGGACCACUGACCCCACACCACGCUGUUCUCCUCUGAGUUUUCUCACCUCUGUCCAAAUGGCUGCAGAAGCCAAAAGCCCCAGAGCCCAGCUCCCCUUCCCUCCUUUCUCUUCCAUCCUUCCAUCCUUCCAUGAGCCUGCCCCUCAUCCUCCUCAGGGCUGGAACUGGCUGCCGGAUUCCUCCCUGGCUCCGUGGGGGCUGGCUCAGCAAUCUGAGCUGCCGAUGGCUCUGUGGUCCAGCUGGGAGGAUUCAUGCCCCAUUGGGGCUGAGAGGAAUGAGGUGAGGGCUGUGGGGUUUGCCCAGAAUCUCCUGAAAUAUCGGGCCCAGGAACUACAGCAGGACUCUCAUUCCGCCUUCUGGCCACUGUUGGGGGUGACACUGGCAGGAUCCAGGGGCUCUGGAAAGCUCCAGGGGAAAUUUGAGGCAUAACCCAGCUUCUCUGAGACGGAACUCAGGGAGGAUCCAGCUCAAUCCUACAGAGGCGACCCCAAGGAAGGACCUGCCCAGGGUCACUUGGAGAGCUGGGCGGGAGGAGGGAGAAACCUCCCCCGUUCAGAGUGACAAAGCCCCCCUUGCCUCAGGGAUGGCUGAGAUCCAAGUCCUCAAAACACGCCGCCAUCUGGAGGGUGUGAGAGCGAGGUCCGUCCUCAGCAUGGACGCUGCAGUGCACACUGUUCCGUGCCAGGUGCUGGCUGACCCUGCCCUGUGGGAGGUGAUGGACAGGCACACAGGGGGAGCCCCGCAAACAAGGGGCCCUGUUACAGCAGAGUGGGAGAGCGCCUGGUAGGACGCCAAGCACCGUGGCCGGGCUGCAGAGAGGCCUGCGGGACUUGUAGACAAGACGUCAUGGAGAAGGCGGAGCUCCCAUGGGCCUUGCAGGUUUCACCAAGCAAGAGCGGAGAAGACACAGGCUGGACAAAGGAAGGUGGACGGGACAGCCAGCCGUGCAGCAGCCUCACAGGACACAGCUACCAGACAGAGAGCACCAGCUGACACUCAUUCCUCCAGCACCAGGAAAUGCCACAGCAGAAGAGAGUCUUCAAGAUGGGCCAGACCCACUUCUGCAGCAUGGUUGCUGGGAGCCUGCACAGGCCAGGCAUUUCUCUACAGGUCAGCAGAGCUGCAGCAAGAUCCCAGGUCCUGACCCAAGGCAGUCCUGACCCAUGGUCUAUCCCCACCGGCCCUUCCCUGGAGCUGUGCCUCAGCUGGGGAGGUACUUCUGGAAGGCAGGUGGAGGAGGUCCAGUUGCUCUUCAGAACUCAAAAUCCCAUCUCUGCAGGUCUCAGCCAAUCCUGCUCCCGCCUGUUUUUAUUUCCUGCCCAGAGCAAGUACAGAACCGAGGGCCAUCGAUGGGCGAGAAAUCACUGUGCCUCCAAGCUGUAUUUUUCACCGUAACAAGUCAUUACUUCUGUGCCCGGAGUCAUUUCUCAGGAUCUUAAUGCAUUCGUUUAUCAAUCAAUACUUAACUGAUGUCUAUAAAGCAUGUUCAAAAUCAGAGGUGAGAGCAGCUCACCAGGUACCGACUUCGUGUCUGGAGCCACCUUGUUAAGGAGCAACCCUUGGCACGGGUCCCGUGUCUGCACCCUCGGGAGCUCUGGGUGGGUGCACUGGGGUCCUCACAGCCCUUCCCACCACCGCAGAUGGAAAUCUCUACCUGGCAGAGGGGCUCAGUCGUCCCCACCUGGGAGUCUGGGGCCUACCGGCAGCAGAAGGUGCAGUGGCCAAACACAGAGACAUUUCUAUCAUCAGACCUGGUCCCCAGCCUGACUCUGCUGCCCACUUACCCCUGGCCAGGGCGAGUUCAUCGACUGUGCCGAGCCUGGCUGCUUCUCCAGCCUAACAGGAGUCCCCGUCUCGACAGGACUGAGUGGGGUGAAUGCAGCCAAGUGCUCAGCAGAGACUGUCCCACCGGGAAGUGUUCACAAAUAUGGGCUGUUGAACCUGCUGUUGUUAGAUCUAGAUCCAGUUCUGCGACCACGUUCAUGACUUAGAUCAUAACUGAAGUGCGGGCCAGCCGAGGCCGGGCCGUUUAGGGGUUUGGCUGCUAAUUCAAGAAGGACACCUGGGUUUGGAUCCCAGAGUUCCCUCCAGACCCAGAUGUGGCCUCAGGCAGGUGAUGAGCCUGGAGAUGCGGUUUCAUUUUCUGCAGGGUGGUCAAAGGAGAUCUCAGGCUUGUAGGAGACAAAGCACAUCGCCCCGAACUGCUCAGGAGGCGCAGAUUACAGCCACCCUCCUUAUCCACCCCGUCUCCCAUCACAGCCCUCAUGAGUGCUCAAGCAAGGCUCAGGGCCUGAUGGACGUGGCUGCCUCCUCCUAGAGGACAGGCAUGUCUCGGCUGCCUGCACCAGCCAGCGGCCCUUCUCCCCGGCCAGGAGAUCCUCCAAGGAAGGCCAAGGGCCAAGCAGCUGCUGGAGCAGAUGACCACAAACUCAGUGACUGCAGAGUGCACGCGCUCAUCACCUUACAGUUGUGUAGGCUGGGAUCCCACUGGGCUAAGACCAAGGUGUUGGGAGGCUGCGUUUCUUGCUGGAUGCUGUAAGGGAGAAGUCGUUUCCUCGUGUUUUUUUAACUUCCUUGGCCCACGGACCUUCCUCCACCUUCAAAGCCAGCAGCCUCGCGUCUUCUGACCUUCCAUUGUCACAUCGUCAUCUGACCCACGUAAGGACCCGUGUGAUUAGGGUGGGCGCACCCGGGUAAUCUUCCCAUCUCAAAGUCCUUGACUGAAUCACAUCUGCAAAGUCCCCUUUGCUACGUAAGGUCACAUGUUCACAAGAUCCAGGGAUUAGGACUUGGACAUUUUUGGAAGCCCAUUGUCCUGCCAACAGCACAAGACCUCCAGGUGAUCCUGAUGUGUAACGCACAGUGAGAGACAAAUGCUCUGAUGGACCAUCAACAGCAGAACGUAAGCAGGGAGAGGGACCCCGCCUUCCUCCCCAAUCUGGCCCUGUGCCUAGCAAAUUAUAGAACUUUUGUAAGCAAAUGAGUUCAUUUGUGAAUAAAUGAACGACCGGUGAGACGAAGAGCUGGGCGUAGCAGCCACAGGUGGGGCUGCCAAAUAAAAUGCAAGAUGCGUGGUUAAAUCUGAAUUUCAGAUAAAUAACAAGUACUUAUGUUUUUGGGGGUUUUUUUGUUUUUUUGUUUUUUUUUUGAGAUGGAGUCUCGUUCUGUCGCCCAGGCUGGAGUGCAGUGGUGUGAUCUUGCCUCACUGCAAGCUCCACCUCCCGGGUUCAAGUGAUUCUCCUGCCUCAGCCUCCUGAGUAGCUGGGAUUACAGGCAUGUGCCACCAUGCCUGGCUAAUUUUUGUAUUUUUAAUAGAGACGGGGUUUCACCAUGUUGGUCAGGCUUGUCUUGAACUCUUGACCUCAGGUGAUCCACCCGCCUCGGCCUCCCAAAGUGCUGGGAUUACAGGCAUGAGCCACCACACCUGGUAACAAGUAGUUUUUUACUACCAGUGUGCCUCUAACAAUAUUUGAGAUAUACUAAAAAAAAAAGUUGUUUUUUAUCUGAAAUUCAAAUUUAGCUGAUAUCCUGUAUUUUUCUUUGUCAAAUGUGGCUUCUCUAAGCAUCAGUCCAGCCAUGGCCCAGGUGGUGAACCUGGAAAUUCAUUCCUCCCUCCAGAACUCUGUUUCCCUGCUCAGUGUUCUAGAAAGCAUCCCCUUCUCUGGCAAACCCUGUCCAAUCUCUCAGGGAAGAUGAGGCCUCCUUCCUCUUCCUGUCCUCCGUUAAUCGAUAUUCCCACCCCAACCCCUCCUAGAAUUUGGUGAUCUGGGGUCUGAAGUCUUCUACCAGGAGCUCAAGCUGAUGGGCUGAGAAGCCCAGUUCUGACGUGAAUUCUGCACCCCUCCUUCGGGAACAAGGAAGACCCAAGCUUGCUUAUCUCUAGAUCCUGCGGGGGGCUUUUGAGAAUCCCUAGUUUUGAGGCUGUGGGAUGGAGCUGCAUGGGAGAGCCAGGAGGAAGACCCUGGCACAGCACGCUCUGAGUAUGGGGUUGCUGCUGGCCCACCCUGUUCCCUCCACACUCUGGAGGAUGUGGAGUGGACGCCAUCAGGGUGCAGCCAUGCAGAACGGCUGGGUCUGUCCCUGUGUCCUCACGCACAGAGCUCUGGAAGGCAGGCAGACGUCCUCACACAUCUGUGAGCCAAAAGGCAAAAAACAAAAGAAGCAAACAAAAAAAUCCACUCCGAUGUUCUUAUGCUUAUGGGUUCUACAGACUUGCAUAUACAUAAUGUAAUGAAAAUUCUUGAUUUCAUCUUCAGAGACAUAAAUGGAAGAAAAUGUACAUAAAAGAGAGUCCACUUAAACAUGUGAUCCUCUCAAAGGAAGAAAAGAACAGGGCUCACUCAUCCACAUCAACCCGGUGAGGCCCGGACACCCCCCACCUCUUCUGCUUAGAGCCCUAUUAUCCUUUGAUCUCCCUAAUAAUGUGUUUCUUUCCUGGUAAUAGGUUUUCAUCAUCCUCACAGCCUAUUGAUUAGAACUCUUUUCCAGGGUUUUGAGAUAUUGGCUAAAAUAAGGGAUGAAAUGAUUCAGUCUUCAGGUGAUGUUUCAAAGGAGGCGUGUUCGUAAUGUCCUCCCGCGACGAGGGACCUGGCCAAGAGAAACUACGCAGGAGGCCCAGAAGGCAGAGCCUGCUCCAGGUCGGCCUCACUGCUGUCCCUUCUGACCUCUCGACAUUUUGGUUUUGGCAUGGUGAAUGGGGCUACCACAGUGGGCCAGCCAGCAUGACCCCCUGACCAGACCUGGAGGCAGGCAGAGGAAAGGAGAGGGCCAGGGAUGGGUGGGUGGCCGGGUGUGUGCCGUUUGCUGAAGUUGAGGCACUGUGGUUCCUGGAAUCCUCAGCCCAGGGACUUCUAAGACACAUCUCUAAGACACAAACAAGAUCUACACCUCUAAGAGGGAAGGAAUGACCGGCCCAUCGCAGGCUGUCUUCGACUGUUGGGGCUCCCAUGACAAAAUGCCAUAGACUUAGGGGCCGAUGAACAACAGCCAUUGGUUUCCCACAGUUCUGGAGGCUAGAAGUCCAAGAGCAAGGCUCCAGCAGAACGUCUGGUGAGGGCCGCUUCCUGAUUCAUAGACGGCACCUCUUUGCUGUGUCCCCGCCUGGUAGAGGGCUGAGGGAUCUCCCUCAGAACUCUUUUAAAAGGGCACUCUCCUCAUUCACCAGUGUUCCACCCUCAGGACCUAAUCACCUCCCAAGGGCCCCACCUUUUAAUACUAUUUAAUACCAUUGCAUUAAGGAUUAGGUUUCAACAUGUGAAACUGCAGGACACACACACUCAGCCCAUAGCAGAUGCCCUGAAGGGGCUGUGAAGUGUCGUGAGUAGAGCCCCAGGAAUGGAGGGUUCUGGAGGGGCACAUAGGUCCAACAGAGCGCAGGCAUAAGGUGGGAAGCCAGAGGGGGCUGUGUGGGCCGGACUGGGUCAAAUCAGGAGGCCUGGAGAUGCCUGGUGAGGAGCCCCGGUCCCACGAUGUAGGGGGCCUGUCGGCACAGGAGUGUAGGCCACGGGCUUGUGGGCAGCCUCCCUCAGGAGGGUGUGGGGCUGAUGAGCAGGUGUGGGCGCAGGUGCAUGCAUCAGGACGUGUCCCCUGCGGAAGCAGCUCCUGUAGGAUCACCUCCUCCACCAGCGACCAGGAAGGACAUUGCAUUUAGACUCUAGGUGAGUCCAGCUUCACUCAUCGCCAGCUGAGGCCUCAUUUUCUCAUCUCUAAGACAUAAACAACCACCCCCUCUUCCCAGGAACACACACACACACGCGCGCGCACACACGUGGUUCUGCGGCUCAUAACUAAAUGUAAUGAAAGGUAAACUAAAGUGCCCCUCCAUGGAAAUCGACCCCAAUUCAGCCUCUAAUCCUGAGAUGCAAGAUUCAGAACCAGUAUGUCAAGGAAAAGUGUUUCUCUGCAUUGAUCCUCGAGGAUACUAAAUGUAUAUUUUAAAAAAUAAAUUCUGUCCCAAGUGUUUGGUGAGACAGAGAGAGAAGCAGCCGCUUCUGAAGUGAGCACAAGGACGUGGCUUUUCUGGAGGCUUCCUCAUUGCAGGACCCAUCCAUCACCUUCAGGGGUUCGAUGAAACCGUUGCAAAUAUGAUCAAUCAUCUUUUUAUUGAAUUAAGACAAAUGGCUGGUUAUUAAUAGGCUAAGACUUAAUGAGGAAAAUGGAUAAUGCCGCACAGGGAAAAGGCAAAGAACUGUGCACACAGCCUCUGCACUUUUUCUAGAAAGAUCUGGAAGUGUCUUCAGUGAGAAAAGCCCCGGGCUGGAUGACCUCUUUGAUUCACACUAAGGACUCAAGGAAGCAAAAACUCCUAGGUUGACCCUUUCUCCACCACCUUCUAUCUGUGUGAUCUUCAGGCAGUGACUUGACCUCUCUGAACUUCUGUCUCUUCACAAAGGUGCUUGGCUUAUGAUGUUGUGCCUGGCAGACGCAGACUGAGAGAAGCAGAGUCCUGGCCUCCAAAAUCUGAGUUGUGUGUGGGACAGAAUGGUGUGCUUCACCUGCGGUUCUGAGGGGGCCGGCGGGAUCAGAUGCUGGCACAGGACAUGGGAAGGGGGUGCGUGUGGGGCAGAGCCGUGCAGCAGGUGCACAGCUGUGCAAGGUCCCCUGAUGGGCCCUCUCUGCUCCAUGUUUCCAGAAAUCCUUGGAAAGGAGCUCAAGUGGCACAGUAUCUGGAGCGUGUUGUGGACUUGGUUGGGAUGCCUGGUGUCUGUUUAUGGCAGCACUUCUGGGGAAACAGAUUGUGUUUAUGUCAGAAAGAAAAGACCAUGUUUCGGGGCAAUCCCUGCAGCUCGUUAGGUCAAAUCAACACCCCCAGCCCAUCUGCCUCCGCAGGGUGCCUCGGCCCCACUCAGUGCCGGCAGACAGGAGCCUCCCAGGGAGCAGCCGAGCUCCAGGGCGGGGGAGCCACCACCGAGCACAAUAGCCAAUCAGCCCCUUCCUAGAAGCAAGUCAGGCUGCCCGGCGUGCUUUCUGUCUGUCGUUCCUGCAGCCUCCACGGGCACCGGCCCAGGUGGUCCCUGGCUGGAUGGUCAGAACUCAGAGCUGUGAGCUGUGGCUGCUGAUUCCCUCCUGAACAACAGGGUCUAGGGAGACAGGCAGACACAGAAACCUCAAGUGAAGUGGGGGCUGCGGGCUGGGGGUGCUGCACGGGGCAGUCAGGGGCACAGCAAAGAGGACGUGACCUCAGGUCCUCGGCAGCAGGGAGGGAAGGCAUGGAGUACAUGCUUUCCUCUGGGAAACACUCAUAUCCGAUUCACAUGAUAUUGUCCGCAGUGCUGAGCCUGGCAGACCUACAUCUUCAUCUUUUUGGUGCGUUAAUGAGGAUUUUUAUUUCUUCUUUAAUGAUUAAUUCCUAAAAUUAUAAUACUUAUGUGAAUAGUACCAAUGCUUAAUAUUUUUGAUAAAAAUUUAAAAAUUGAGCUCCAAAAGGGAUUCACCAAUUAAUAUUUCCAUCAUCAUUAUGCAGAAGUUGCUAUUUACUCACAUCCUUAAUUAUAGAGGAAAGUAUCAAUGAAUGUUUACCAAUUUAAUGACUCAAAUAUUUUCAUAUCUAUAUUUCUCCAUUAUUAGUGACAUUGUGCACUUUUACUUAUGUGUAUUGACGAUUUGUACUUUUACUCUGUGAAUUUCUUUUUCUCUUCUUUUUUUCAACUUUUAUUUUAGAAUUGGAGAGUACAUGUGCAGGUUUGUUAUGAAGUUAUAUUGCGUGAUGCUGAGGUUUGGAGCAUGAGUGAAUCUGUUACCCAGGUACUGAGCAUAGUACCCAAUAGGUAGUUUUCUUUCUACCUUGCCCCCAGGAGUCCCCAGUAUCUAUUUUUCCCAUCUUUGUGUCCAUCUGUACCUAAUGUUUAUCUCCCACUUACAAGUGAGAAAACGUGGUAUUUGGUUUUCUGUUCCUGCAUUAAUUUGCUUAGGAUAAAAGUUUCUAGCUGCAUCCAUGUUGCUGUGAAGGACAUGGUUCCAUUCUUUUUCAUGGCUGUGUAGUAUUCCACGGUGUCUGUGGGUUUUUUUUAAAGGUUGUUUUUGAAGAAUACUUGACAACAUGGAGAAAUUCUCAAUGCGUGAAAAAAAAGUAAAAGGAAAGUAAAAGGGAACAGAAGUAUAUAUAAAGCAUGUUCCAAUAUUGUCCAAAAAUAUUAUUAUUGAUUAUCUGGGAGAAGUUUAUGGGUAUUUAUGCUUUUUUCCAUCUUUGAAAAAUACUCUGAGAAUAUGCAUUAGUUUUAUGAGGAAAGUGCAUGUUAUAAAGCCUAAAGAUGAAUUGUGUCUCCCCACAAAAGAUAGGUUGAGGGACUCAGCCUGUGGCCUGAUUUGGAAGCAGGGUCACUACAGAUGGAAUUAGUUGAGGUGAGGUCGUCCUGGAGUAGGUGAACUCCAAUCCAAGAUGACUCAUGUUUUUGCCAG